AAGAGGCACUUGAGAGAACAAAAGGCGAGAGGGAGAGGGAGAAGAGAAGAGAGUGGGAGAGGGAGGAAAAAAAACAGAGAGAGAGGCAAGGAUCAUGGGUGAGGCUGUGAAAACAGAGAAACCAUGUGUUAUGUGACAGGAUGCUCCUCUGAAGACUGACGAUGUUACUUGGGAUUUAAGGUACUAAUCAAGAAGUCUAUAAAGGAAAAAGAUGAGUGUAUAUACACAUAUGUAUGUAUAUAUGUAUUUGUAUAUGUGCAUAUAUAUAAUUUUAAAAAACAAAUACUAGAGCUGUAGAUGUUUGCAGGAAAUAAUAUAGUUUAGGAAGAAAUGUUUGAAAUGCUUGAAAAUGCAGUGUAAUGAAUUAACUGCCAGCUUCAACUUUUAUUCAGUCUUUCCUUGCACCUAAACAUAAUAAGCGAAGGUAAACUCUAAUGUGAGAAGAAUUUCUUUCUUGGUUGAGGAGCUCCUGAAGUUGAGGAAGGGAAAGGAGAAACUGCAGAUCACCGUUACACAAAGCCUGGGGUUGGAGCGAGCAGUGGAAUUAGUCCUCUUCCACAUUCAGACAGGGACACAAGCCACAGCUCUAGCUCCCUCCCAGGCAGAAGGGAGAACAUUCUGGGAGCACAGUGAGGAGAGAAGGGAUAAGGAUGAGUGAAUAAAGUGGAGAGGGAGCAGCUUCACAGAGCAUUGUUCUAAGUCCCCCCAUACUGUGCCUGUGAUUACUGUGAAUUCCUUCACUGCUGAUGGUCACAGCAAGAAGAUUGUCACGCCACUGAAUAUUUGCAUUUGGACCAAUGCAAAGAUAGGAUGUUUCCAUCUGAAGAUUCACUUUUUAAUAGAUAACUUUACAUCUAGCUCUCAGAUCUCCAUGUGUAGCAUCAAAAAGCAUUAAGUAAAUUGCUGUGGAAUGUGUCUUCAAUGAAAUA
ensembl:lncRNA novel transcript